UACUAGUAGAAAAUAUAGGAUUUUCUAAACACAACACAACCAAGGACAAAACAUUUCAUUUCAUACAAACAUUGUCAUUUAAAUACUUAUGAAACUCACCAGCUUAAAUGCUGAUCUACUCUUUCAAAAUUACUUGUAUGUCCCAGGGAAUCAGUAAUUUCAGGUAUCAUUAUGCUUUUGAUGAAGGGAUGCUGCGGCGCCAGUUUAAUCUCAUAUUUUGACAUCAUAUUGUAAUUGGUUUUGAACAUGUAACUUUUUGACAAAUGUAAACUUUCAAUUAUAUAUAUGAUGGUUGUAUUGCUUUCUUUACUAUGUAUUCAUUUGUUACGUUACCACAUGAAGUCAUCCGCCCCCGAACGUUUCCGCCGUUCAGGUUUGGGGGUGUGACAGAUUGGUAUCAGAGCAAUGUUUAUAGUGAACUAAGUAUAUCGAACCACAUAAGAUAUACAAACUAUAAAUGCUUAAGGGACUAAUACUCUCUGACAAAACAAAUUUUCUUUUUACACUUAAGCAGCAUUUCGUUCAACUUAAAUUGAUAGUUCAUUUAAGUACAAUUACAUGCAUACCACAAAUUAUUUUCAUGUUAUACAACUAUACAAGUAUUUAGACAAGUUGACACUACGAUUGAGACUCGAUAUAUGUAAUCAGAUUUUGGACAAAUAUAGCGUGAUCAACUAUAUUUGCCCGAGAUUGGACCAACGUAUAUCGAGGAAUGAUCGUAGUAAGCAACAAGUCAAAACUUACCAAACCGUUACUAGAAUCAAACACAAGAAUUUAAAUACUAUAGGAGUAUUUGCUAUCUAAACUAGUUUAACUUACAUGUUUUGCAUGUUUCAACUUUAUUCAAUUCUUAUAACCCUAUUUCUCGUACAGUCAAAUGGCUGGAUUUCACCACCCUGGCGACCCCUACUUUCCCAACCAAGGCAACGGAGGAUGGAUCGAAGAUGAUCCCGAAGAGGACGAGGAACCCAUAGAAGUGGGUGAUGACUCCGGUACCGACUCAGAGCCGGAAGUUAUCGAUCCACCACCCAUUCAACCUCCCGUCUUCGUAAGGAACUUUCAAGGACCGACUCCCGUCUGGGGAAGUCACCUCCACCAUUGGAGCCAACAGCAAAACCUACGCCCUCCCUACGGCAUGUGCCGGGACUUCUAUGAUGUCCGCGGCGGAGGUUCGGCUGAUCGAGCACUCCCGGUAAUGGUGGGUAAGUUAGCCAAUCAGUCCUAUCAGUCUGGAGUACAAGCUAGUCGACUCCGGGAUAUCAACGUGGAAGUGCAGGUUCACACUUCUGACAUCCGUAGGCUGGACAAGAUGCAAGACAACGCUCAAUUCCAAACCGAAGCGUUUCAAGCGCAAAUGAUUGCAGCCCUCGCCGAACUAAGGGAACAACAAGCCGCUUUCGAUAGGCGUCUAAUGGAGUCAAAGCAAUCAGAUACGGAGUCAAGCUCCAAGCGCAACCUUCGACGCAAGUAGUGCUUGUCAAGGACUCAAAUUUUGUUAUAGCUUAGGACCUCGGCUAAAAGUCUUUAAAUUUCUCGAACUUUGUAAUCGGAGACCCUUAUAGGGGUCAAAUUUUCAUGAUCGUUGUAACAACUUUUAUAUUAAUAUAAGUGGCACUAUUACUACUAUGUUGAGUAUUUCGUUCGAACCUUGAAUGGUCUUUGUGAACCCAAAUACUUGUUUCAUACCUUCAGUCUUACAAAUAACUUUCAUUCUUCUAUUUUAAGACUCAUACUAUCAUCUGUUGUUGAACUAUAGCGAUUUAGUUCAUGAGACACAUACAUUUUCCAUUCUAUGAAAUUCUUAUCCUUGUCUUUUCAAUCUAUAGUUGAAGGAUGCCUCCGCGUAGGAAUCCAAGGCGAAACAACGGUGAGGAAGCACCUAUACCACCACCACCUCCACCACCCCAAUUUGAUGCUGUAAUGUUUCAAGCAGCAGUCACCGCAGCGGUGGCAGCUGCCAUGUCACAGAUCAAUAACUCGAGUACUAAUGGCUCGGGAUCUGGCACACACCUAUCCAACCAUGGCGAGAGUCAUGGACCACCUCGAGAAUGCACCUAUAAGGACUUCACUAAUGCCAAGCCCCGGAUGUUUUAUGGUACUGGUGGUGUGAUGGCCCUGAGGCAGUGGAUUGAAAGGACGGAGGCAGUCUUUGAAAUCUGCUCCUGCCCCGAGCACAGCAAGGUCAAAUUUGCAACUUUCACCCUUCUCGAUAAAGCUUUAACUUGGUGGAAUGGCCACGUUAAAGUACUUACCCUAAUCGUGGCAAACUCCAUAAGCUGGGAGAGCUUGAAGGCCAUGAUGAUGAGAGAAUACUGCCCACGGGGAGAAAUUCAAAAGCUUGAACACGAGCUAUGGACUCUCGGAAUGGUGGGUACCGACAUCGCUACUUAUACCAACAGAUUCUGCGAACUGGCAAUCCUUUGUCCAGAUAUGAUUGCUCCCGAGAGCAAGAAGAUAGAAAGGUACAUCUGGGGACUGACGCCCCAAAUGCGAUCAAGCGUGUUAGCUUCUAAACCUGACACCUUUGAAAGUGCUAAGGAACUGGCACAAUCUCUGAUCGACUACGGAGGUCAUCAGAACUCAACCACUUCUGCACCAGCACCACAGAAAGGAAACAACAACAACAACAACAACAACAACAACAACAACAACAACAACAAUGGCAGGAAGAGAGCGUGGAUUAAAGGGAAGGGUGGGUCUUCCCAAGAAUCCGCAAAGAAACAACUGGUGUCAGUAAAUGCUGCCAUUGUACCUGCUACAGCCCCUACAAAUACCUACCCAACAAAGCCUUAUAUAGGCAACCUCCCAAAAUGCACCAAAUGCAAUUACCACCACCAUGGACCUUGUCGAGAUAUGCAGUGCGCCAACUGCAGCAGGAAAGGACACACAGCCCGUUUCUGCAAGGAACCCGCAAAGCCGAUCACUCAAGUUCCCGGUGCGGGUGUAGGGCAGGCUUGCUACGGUUGUGGCGAGGUGGGCCACUACAAGAGAAACUGUCCUAAGGCAGCAGGCACCGGAGGUGUGGGACGAGUUUUGGCAAUAGGCCACGACGAAGCUGUAGCUGACCCAACUAUAGUUGCUGGUACGUUCCUUCUCGAUAAUUCAUACGCAUGCAUAUUAUUCGAUAGUGGAGCGGAGAGAAGCUUCGUGAGUCAAAACUUUAUUCAUUUACUUAAACCUAAACCUAGCAAGUUAGAAAAAUCAUUCACUGUAGAGAUGGCCAAUGGAAAAACCGAAAACACAAAUUGCAUAUACAUGGGCUGUACGUUAACAUUAGACGGCCAUUCUUUCCCAAUCAAUCUCAUGCCGGUUCAAAUUAAAAGUUUCGACGUCAUAGUCGGCAUGGAUUGGUUGAGUCUUCUUCGCGCCGACAUCAUGUGCUUUGAGAAAGCAGUCCGUCUUAACCUCCCAAACAACGAAACAUUAGUUAUCUACGGCGACAAAUCUAGUGCAAACCUUCGCAUCAUUUCGUGCAUCCAAGCUCGAAAGUGCUUGCGGAAGGAUUGUCGAGCAUUCCUAGCGCACAUCGUCGAUACAAGUCAAGAACUGAAGGACAUCAAGAGCAUCUCGGUAGUACGCGACUUUCCCGAUAUCUUUCCAGAAGAACUGCCAGGAUUACCACCGCAACGCCAAGUCGAGUUCAGAAUCGACUUAAUUCCAGGAGCUACCCCAGUAGCGAAGUCGCCUUAUCGUCUUGCACCAGCAGAGAUGCAGGAACUUUCCAGUCAACUUAAUGAACUCCUUCACAAAGGAUUCAUAAGACCAAGUUUCUCACCUUGGGGAGCACCGGUCUUGUUUGUAAAGAAGAAAGACGGAUCGUUCCGUAUGUGCAUCGACUACAGAGAGCUGAACAAACUUACUGUCAAGAACCGCUAUCCUCUACCCCGUAUCGACGACCUAUUCGAUCAACUUCAAGGGGCGAACUACUUCUCCAAAAUAGACCUGCGAUCCGGAUAUCACCAAUUACGAGUUCUAGAGGGGGACAUUCCAAAGACAGCCUUCCGAACUCGUUAUGGACACUACGAAUUCGUGGUGAUGCCGUUCGGAUUAACCAAUGCACCAGCAGUAUUUAUGGACCUAAUGAAUAGGGUAUGCCGCCCUUACUUGGAUCAGUUCGUCAUCGUCUUUAUCGAUGAUAUACUUAUCUACUCUCGAAGUGAGGAAGAGCAUAGUCAACACCUACGAAAAGUCCUAGAAACACUGCGAACGGAGAAACUCUAUGCGAAGUUCUCUAAAUGCGAAUUUUGGAUUCGAAGAGUCGAAUUUUUAGGUCACGUUGUUAGCGAGAAAGGUAUACACGUGGACCCCUCCAAAAUUAAGGCUAUUGAGAACUGGUCGGCACCAAAGACACCUACAGAAAUUCGUCAAUUUCUAGGUCUAGCUGGCUACUAUCGCAGAUUCAUAAAGAACUUUUCGAGCAUUGCGAAACCUCUUACUUCAUUAACCCAGAAAGGUGUGGCCUUUGACUGGGAAGCGAAACAAGAGAAGGCAUUCCAGACACUAAAGCAGGCCUUGUGCACCGCACCGAUACUAUCCCUCCCCGAAGGGAUAGAAGACUUCGUAGUGUAUUGCGAUGCUUCAAAUCAAGGACUUGGUUGUGUUCUUAUGCAGAGAGGGAAGGUUAUCGCUUAUGCCUCCCGACAGCUUAAGACACACGAAGUGAACUAUACGACACACGACCUCGAGUUAGGAGCAGUGGUAUUUGCUCUGAAGAUCUGGAGGCACUACUUAUACGGAACAAAGAGUACUAUAUUCACCGAUCACAAGAGCCUUCAACACAUUUUCGAUCAGAAGGAACUCAACAUGCGACAACGACGAUGGGUUGAGUUACUGAAUGACUACGAAUGCGAAAUUCGUUAUCAUCCUGGCAAGGCCAACGUAGUAGCCGACGCCCUCAGUCGAAAGGAAUACACUGGUCGGAGGGUCAAAUCUCUGACCAUGACUAUCCAUUCCCACUUAUCCACACAAAUUAAGGAAGCACAAAUGGAAGCUUUGCAACCUGAAAAUGUGGCGGGUGAAUCCCUGCGAGGAAUGGAGAAGAAUUUAGAAGUCAAGGGUGGCGGAGCCUACUAUCUCAUGGACCGAAUCUGGACCCCAAAUCAUGGUGGUUUCAGAAACGUAGUCAUGACCGAGGCUCACAACUCAAGAUAUUCCGUUCACCCGGGUUCAGAUAAAAUGUAUCUGGAUCUUAAGAAACUGUACUGGUGGCCUAACAUGAAAGCAGAAAUUGCUACCUUCGUGAGUAAAUGUCUUACUUGCGCUAAGGUUAAGGUCGAGUAUCAGAAACCGUCAGGACUACUACAACAACCAGAGAUACCGGAAUGGAAAUGGGAGCGGAUUACUAUGGACUUCAUAACCAAGUUACCCAAGACGACAAGUGGACUCGAUACCAUAUGGGUCAUUGUCGACAGAUUGACCAAAUCCGCACAUUUCCUACCCAUCAAGGAGACUGACAAAAUGGAGAAGCUUACAAGAACUUACUUAAGGGAAGUAGUGCGACUGCAUGGUGUUCCGAUAUCCAUUAUCUCCGAUCGAGAUAGUAGAUUCACUUCAAGAUUCUGGCAGUCACUACAAAGUUCCCUGGGAACUAGGCUAGACAUGAGUACAGCCUACCACCCACAGACAGACGGACAAAGUGAGAGAACAAUACAAACUUUAGAAGACAUGCUGAGAGCCUGCGUGAUUGACUUUGGAAAGGCAUGGGAUAUUCAUUUACCCCUUGUCGAAUUUUCAUACAACAAUAGUUAUCAUACAAGCAUAAAGGCUGCUCCGUUUGAAGCCCUCUAUGGUCGAAAGUGCAGAUCCCCUCUGUGCUGGACUGAAGUUGGCGAUACCCAGUUAGCUAGAGGAAGAGUUCCUGAAAGCACUCUCACCGGUCCGGAGAUCAUACGUGAAACAACAGAGAAGAUCGUUCAGAUUCGUGAACGAUUGAAAGCCUCAAGAGACCGACAGAAAAGCUACGCUGACCAAAGGAGGAAACCUUUGGAAUUCCAGGUAGGAGACCACGUCUUAUUAAAGGUCUCACCGUGGAAGGGUUUAAUACGAUUUGGAAAGCGUGGGAAACUAAAUCCAAGAUACAUAGGGCCUUUCGAGAUUCUUGCCAGAAUCGGCCCUGUGGCUUACAAGCUUAACCUACCGCGCGAACUUAGUAACAUCCAUCCAACCUUCCACGUCUCAAACUUGAAAAAGUGUCUGUCCGACGAGACUCUUGUUAUUCCACUCGACGAGAUCGAGAUCAACGAGAGCCUCAACUUUGUGGAAGAACCAGUAGAAAUCAUGGACCGAGAGGUCAAACAAACAAAACAAAGUCGCAUACCCAUCGUGAAGGUUCGCUGGAACGCCAAGCGGGGACCCGAAUUCACAUGGGAACGCGAAGAUCAGAUGAAACAAAAGUACCCUCAUCUCUUUCAUGUUCACUAGUAUCUUUACUACUUUAAAUUUCGGGACGAAAUUCUCUCUAACGGGGGGAUGAUGUGACAACCCGAUAUUUCAACUCUUUGUAACGACCAAAAUGGGUCAAGUAUUGUAACCACUUCUGAAUAAUAAAAAGUUACUUUCAUAAUAAAAUGUAUAAAUAAGUUCUACUUAAUUUCCUUCUAUGAUUAAAUGUCUUUGAACCAUGAUCGUACGUGAAAAGAACGCCCAAAUCCGACUUCAUAUAGCGAAGUUAUGAUUUUUCCAAGUUCGGCUUAGCAACAGACAGCUAAAAACUCGAAUCGGAGAUCGAGCGACUUUUGGCCGGAAUGACCUAAACGAGAAUCGAAGGUCUCGACAAUGGUAUUCCAGCGGUAAAAAGUCUGGCAAAAACCGACAUCAGAUAAAGAAGUUAUGAAUUUUCAAAGAAAUUCCUUAAACACGAUGGGUUUUUAAUAAAUAAUAAAAAUAUAAUUUUGGAAUUUGCCGACGGAGUCUAAACGAAAGUUGUAGAGCGUAGUCUCACCUACGCGAGGAUAUAAAGACCAUCGAAAACGGAGUUCGUAUGAAGAAGAUAUGAAUUUUUGAAGUUUAUUAAAUAAAUUAAUUAUUUAUUUAAUUCAAAAUUCGGAUAUUAUCCGAAGGGGAGUCAGCAUCCUCCUCCGAGGUACGCGCUGCGUACCCCUGUACGCCCCGCGUAACCGAGAGGAUUGGCCUCUGAUCGUCCACGUCGCGCUAUCCGAAGAAACCGACCCAUCCGACCCGUCCGAAGCCCCGACCCGUCCGACCCGACGUCCCAUCCGACCCGGCGUCCCAUCCGACCCGCGUACCCAGCAACCCGUCCCAUCCGAACCGAGGCAGUCGAGGCUUCGGUCAUGCAUGACGUACGCGUACGCGCUGCGUACGAGCGUACGCCCCGCGUACCGAGGCAGACCAGCCUUACUAUAAAUAGGAUGCGAGGGUUUCCAAAGAAAGGGUUCAUUUCUCUUCUCUCUCUCUCAACUUUGCCUCGUUUUCCGUGUCCGUUCAAACCCGAAGCUCUGGUCUUUUUGGCUCAAGUCCCGAAGGUCGAUUUUACUCCCGAGAUUCCCGAGAAUCCCGAGGAAAAUCCGUUUCCCGAGACGAAACUCUGCCCGGUUUUCCAUCUCGCUAUCUCCAAAACUUUCAAGUGAGUUUCAUACCCCUUAAUCAACCUUUUUAAUUAUUCUAAAUACUUUUAUAUGCUUUCAAGGGGGGGAUUACAAGUAAAACACACGAGUAUUAUCGUGUGUUACAUAAAGAAACUCUUUUAUAUACUGUUAUAUAUUCAAAUCACAUGCGAUUUAUAAACAUUUAAAGGAACUUUUAUAUAUAUAUAACAUAUGUCACAAUAGCAUUUUACCUUUUAAAAUAUAAUGUUGUUGUAAUGCAUGUAUAAACUAAACUGUUCUUAGAUUUUUCUUGUCUAUCCUAGACUCUACACCAAAAAUCUAUACUUUCAUAAACAAGUGAUUCCUUUUCUCAAUAUUUCUAAACAAACAAGACACGCUUUUUGGAAACUAUAAUAGGUAUAGUUUUACGAACAGAUUUCUAACUCUUAUGUACUAGAAACACAUAUUUCAAGAAGUUUACUUUCGUAUACAAGAACAAACGUAACAUUUUAACAAGUAGAUCUGUUUUUAUACCACGGAUUUGUGAGACACUAACUUCAUGUACGUUCGAGUACACAUUUCAAGUCCUGUAUUAUAUACCAGAAUCCCUUGGAGGGGGAGCAUGGUGUUUGUGUAUAGAUCUAUACGGGCUUGACAACCCGCGCCCUGACUGUUAGCUGCAGUCCACCGUUUGGGGUGACAAACGUCAUAACAUUCCAACGCCUGAAGAACGUUGUGUAUAGGCAUUCCGAGUCAAUAGUAUGGUUAUAAAACUCACAUGGGGUAUUAAAAAUGCAUUGAUUUACAAGGUUUUCAAACACAUUGGUUAUUUCACACUUACAUACAUUUUAGAAACAAACAUUGGUCUUGAGAGAAGGCUACUUUUAUACUAGUAGAAAAUAUAGGAUUUUCUAAACACAAACAAACAAGGACAAAACAUUUCAUUUUCAUACAAACAUUGUCAUUUAAAUACUUAAAUGCUGAUCUACUCUUUCAAAAUUACUUGUAUGUACCAGGGAAUCAGUAAUUUCAGGUAUCAUUAUGCUUUUGAUGAAGGGAUGCUGCGGCGCCAGUUUAAUCUCAUAUUUUGACAUCAUAUUGUAAUUGGUUUUGAACAUGUAAACUUUUGACAAAUGUAAACUUUCAAUUAUAUAUGUGAUGGUUGUAUUGCUUUCUUUACUAUGUAUUCAUUUGUUACGUUACCACAUGAAGUCAUCCGCCCCCGAACGUUUCCGCCGUUCAGGUUUGGGGGUGUGACAAGUAAUGAGGUUUCAAAUCCCUAUACAUCUUGGUACUUCUAGGAUGAAUCGAGUACAUGGGCUUUUGGGCUUCUUCCAUGAUAAGAUCUCUCAUAUCUCCUAUCUUAGGUACACGAAUCCUGUUUUAGAAUACCUUGAACCCUUGUACAUUUGUACCAAACAUUAACGUUUUUACUAAACGUUCUUACUUUCGGUUUUAUUCUUCUGAAGCAUCUUCGUGAGCUUUCUUUAUGCUCUCUACAGUUUUCAAGAAAAACUCAAUUCUUAACACCGUUGGCCUUUUCCUUUCCAAGUUUACUUUUCUACUUAAAGUGUCUACUACAACAUUUUCUUUACUAGGGUGAUAAAGUAUCUCGCUGUCGUAAUCCUUGAGUAACUCAAGCCAACGUCUUUGUCUCAUAUUUAACUACUUCUAGUUAAAGCGGUACUAGAGACUUUUAUGACCAGAGAAGAGUGUGCACCUCGUGCCAUAAAGAUAACUUUCCAUAUCUUUAAUGCAAAAACUACCGCUGCCAACUCCAUAUCAUGAGUGGGGUAGUUAUUCUCGUGCUCUUUCAAUUGUUAGGAUGCAUAUGCGAUUACUUUAUCUCUUUGGAUCAAAACACAUCCUAACCCAACUCCAGAUGCAUCACUGUAAACUUCAAAGUCUUCAACUCUGUCGGGUAAAGAAAGAAUUAUUGCUUCACACAACUUCUUUAACUCCUCAAAAGCUUCUGCGUGCUUCUCACUACAUGUGUAAGUAGCUCCUUUAUGGGUCAAAUCUGUCAAUUGAGCAGCUAUUGAAGAAAAUCCUUGGAUAAACCUUCCGUAAUAUCGAGAUAAUCCCAAAAGCUAUGAAUCUCGGUGGGACUUUUUGGUCGUUCUGUGACAUCCCCAUUUUCAUGGCCAGAAAAGUCCGAUUUUGUUUAUGCUUGUUUGAAAAUCAGAGUAACAUUUUAAAUAAAAGUGUUGCGGAAUUUGUCCCAAAACAAAAUAUGAUAAAGAUUUAUCAAAAGCAUUUCCAAGGAAAUGUAUUUCAUUAAAAGACUCGGGAUGUCAUAUUCGAUACAGAUCAAAAACAUAAACAAUACAACAUAAGCCUUCCUACAUUAUUUCGUAUUUACAGGCGUAUAAUCCCUUAUCUCUCAUCCAAACAUCUAUGCUCAUGCACCACUAC
rnacentral:lncRNA from 1 species